rnacentral:rRNA from 1 species
UAGGGAAUUUUUCACAAUGGGCGAAAGCCUGAUGGAGCGAUGCCGCGUGAAUGAUGAAGGUCUUUUGAUUGUAAAAUUCUUUUAUAAGGGACGAAUGUUAAAGGUAGGAAAUGAUCUUUAAUUGACUGUACCUUUUUGAAUAAGCACCGGCAAACUAUGUGCCAGCAGCCGCGGUAAUACAUAGGGUGCGAGCGUUAUCCGGAUUUACUGGGCGUAAAGCGAGCGCAGGCGGAUUUACAAGUCUGGUGUUAAAUGCUAUUGCUUAACGAUAGUAUGCAUUGGAAACUGUAAAUCUAGAGUGUAAUAGAGAGUUCUAGAACUCCAUGUGGAGCGGUGGAAUGCGCAGAUAUAUGGAAGAAUACCAGUGGCGAAGGCGAGAACUUAGGUUACUACUGACGCUUAGGCUCGAAAGUGUGGGGAGCAAAUAGG